GGGACGAUGGCGCAUCUGGGAGCGCGUCAGACUGAAGUUCACUUCGGCCAUAGCUUUAUCCCUCGGGGAUGACUGUAAUCUGAAGGUGGCCGGUUCAAGCCCGGCUCGUCCCA